CUGUCAUUUAGAGGAAGUAAAAGUCGUAACAAGGUUUCCGUAGGUGAACCUGCGGAAGGAUCAUUACAAGUGAGGCUACCGAACGUUGGAAACAGCGGUUAGGAGCUUACACCCACCCGUGUUUACAUACUAUUGUUGCUUUGGCGGGCCGUGGCCUCCACUGCGGGCUCUGCUCGUGUGUGCCCGCCAGAGAACCAAACUCUGAAUGUUAGUGAUGUCUGAGUACUAUCUAAUAGUUAAAACUUUCAACAACGGAUCUCUUGGUUCUGGCAUCGAUGAAGAACGCAGCGAAAUGCGAUAAGUAAUGUGAAUUGCAGAAUUCAGUGAAUCAUCGAAUCUUUGAACGCACAUUGCGCCCUGUGGUAUUCCGCAGGGCAUGCCUGUUCGAGCGUCAUUUAACCACUCACGCCUAGCGUGGUAUUGGGGCACGCGGUCUCCGCGGCCCUCAAAAUCAGUGGCGGCGCCGGUGGGCUCUAAGCGUAGUACAUACUCCCGCUAUAGAGUUCCCCCCGGUGGCUCGCCAGAACCCCCAAUUUUUUACAGGUUGACCUCGGAUCAGGUAGGGAUACCCGCUGAACUUAAGCAUAUCAAUAAGCGGAGGA
rnacentral:rRNA from 1 species